ACAGAGGUCUCAAGCGUUGUUCGGAUUCAUUGGGCGUAAAGGGUGUGUAGGUGGCGCGCUAAGUCGGGUGUGAAAUUUCGGAGCUUAACUCCGAAACUGCAUUCGAUACUGGCGUGCUUGAGGACUGGAGAGGAGACUGGAAUUUACGGUGUAGCAGUGAAAUGCGUAGAUAUCGUAAGGAAGACCAGUGGCGAAGGCGGGUCUCUGGACAGUUCCUGACACUGAGACACGAAGGCCAGGGGAGCAAACGGGA
rnacentral:rRNA from 1 species